rnacentral:lncRNA from 1 species
UUUAACUAAUUACAAAGAUAAACAAUAUAUAUGUAUAGAAAAAAAAAAUGCUUAUUCAAGUGAAGAUUCCGAAACUGAUAAUGAAAAAGAAAAAUCUUUUUAUAUAUUUGAACAAGAUGAAAAUAAGAAAAAAGGUGCAUCUAUUCUCAUGGACAGAAAAAAGAAAGUUUACGCUUCCAAAGGCACAAGCAUACUGUCCAACUAUAAUAUGAAGGAAGUGUUGAGCUUCAUGAACUCAGGUAUAAGAAAGCAUAACAAACGGAAAGAAAAAAUACAAGGUAAAAAACAUACAAAGGAAGAAAAAAUGGAAUGCAUGUAGCGGAUGGUAAGAAAGAAAAAUGUGUAGAGCAAGAAAAGGAGGAAAAAGAGGUAGAGCAAGAAAAGGAGGAAAUAGUCGCAGAGGAAGAAAGGGAGGAAAUAGUCGCAGAGGAAGAAAGGGAGGAAAAAGAGGUAAAGGAUGGAAAGAAGGAAAAAGAGGUAGCGGAAGAAAAGAAGGAAAAAGAGGUAGAAAAAGAAAAGAAGGAAAAAGAGGUAGAGCAAGAAAAGGAGGAAAAAUUGGUAGAGGAAGAAAAGGAGGAAAAAUUGGUAGAGGAAGAAAAGAAGGAAAAAGAGGUAGAGGAAGAAAGCAAGGAAAUAGUCGUAAAGGAAGAAAAGGAGGAAAAAGAGGUAGCGGAAGAAAAGAAGGAAAUAGUCACAGAGGAAGAAAAUAAGGAAAUAAGUGUAGAAGAAGAAAAGAAAGACAAAUAUACCGAAAAGAACAAAAUAGAAGAUAACAACAUCCAGACUGAACAAACAGGUGACACUGAAUUGAAAAGCUCAAAAGUAGAAAACACAAAAGAUACACCAGAAAAAGCAUAUAUAAAAAAAAAAAGUAAUAAAGAAGGAGCAUCAGAACAUAAACUUUUAAUUACUCAUAAUAUUGCAAAACAACAACCCAUAAUAUAUAAAACAGAGGAAGAGCAUUACCAAACAGAUGAUAUUAAUGGUAAAAAUGUUUUUGCAAAUAAAAAGUUAAAAGAACCAGUAUCAAACGAAUUUAAAUAUUUAAAUCGUGACAAUAAUAUAAAAGAAACUAUUACAAGUGACUUUAUUAUAAAAAAAGAAUUGAAUGAAAAACAAACGAUAAAUCAUAUUAAAAUAAAACCAGAAACAACAAGUGUUGACUCAUUAGCAGAUACAACAGAAGAAAGUUUAAUAAUUAAAGAAUUUAUUUCAAAAAAUAAAGAACGUGUUAAAACGGAGGGACACACAGAAGGACAAGUAGCAGGACAAGCAGAAGAACAAGUGAAAGAGAACAUUUUGGUAAAAGAGCAAAGCGUAGAGGAAGAUAAAAUAGAUGAAUGUAAAAAGAAAGAUAAAACAGAAACAUUGCAAGUACAGUCCACUACACCUGCCACAACUCUUAAAAUUAUUAUAUCAGAAAAUGAUGAAAAACAGACACAAAAUAAAAUUAACAGUAUAACCAAUGAACAAAAUUUAAAUAUAAUUAAUAAAUAUAACAACAUUAUAGAAGAUGUUAAUCAAGAGAAAAAAAAAAAAAAACUUUCAAAAGGUAGGAGUGCUAGUAGUAGUGGUAGUAGUAGUAGUAGUAGUGGUAGUAGUAGUAGUAGUAGUAGUGUUAGUCCUACUCAAAGUGUAAACAUAAAUGACAACGUAAAAAAUGUUUUUCAAAGCAAUACAACCGAAAUAAUUAAAAAUGGUAACCUAGUUUUAAACAAUGAAAAAAAUGAAUUGAAUAGUAUGUGUUUAACAACUGAAAAUAAAUUAUUAACAAAUAAACAGUUAGAAGAUAAUUUAAAAACUG